UAAUACGUAGGGGGCGAGCGUUGUCCGGAUUUAUUGGGCGUAAAGAGCGCGUAGGCGGCCGGCCACGUCGGAUGUGAAAGCUCGGAGCUCAACUCUGAGAGGCCAUUCGAUACGGGCCGGCUAGAGGCAGGUAGAGGAGAGUGGAAUUCCUGGUGUAGCGGUGAAAUGCGCAGAUAUCAGGAGGAACACCGGUGGCGAAGGCGGCUCUCUGGGCCUGUCCUGACGCUGAGGCGCGAAAGCUGGGGGAGCAAACAGGAUUAGAUACCCUGGUAGUCCCAGCCGUAAACGUUGGGUGCUAGGUGUGGGGAGGUCUUCAACCCUUUCCGUGCCGAAGCUAACGCAUUAAGCACCCCGCCUGGGGAGUACGGCCGCAAGGCUA
rnacentral:rRNA from 1 species